rnacentral:rRNA from 1 species
GAGAUUCGAAAGCGUGGGAGCAAACAGGAUUAGAUACCCUGGUAGUCCACGCCCUAAACGAUGCACACUAGUUGUUGUGAGGCUAGACCUUGCAGUAAUGCAGUUAACACAUUAAGUGUGCCGCCUGGGGAGUACGGUCGCAAGAUUAAAACUCAAAGGAAUAGACGGGGACCCGCACAAGCGGUGGAGCAUGUGGUUUAAUUCGACGAUACGCGAAGAACCUUACCUGGACUUGACAUAGAUAGAAUAUAACAGAGAUGUAUUAGUGCUUGCUUGCAAGAGCUAUCAUACAGGUGCUGCACGGCUGUCGUCAGCUCGUGUCGUGAGAUGUUGGGUUAAGUCCCGCAACGAGCGCAACCCUCGUCAUUAGUUGCUAACAGUUCGGCUGAGAACUCUAAUGAGACUGCCUGGGUAACCAGGAGGAAGGUGAGGACGACGUCAAGUCAUCAUGGCCCUUACGUCCAGGGCUACACACGUGCUACAAUGGGGUAUACAAAGAGCCGCGAUACUGUGAAGUGGAGCAAAUCUCAAAAAUAUCUCCCAGUUCGGAUAGCAGUCUGCAACUCGACUGCUUGAAGUUGGAAUCGCUAGUAAUCGUAGAUCAGCAAUGCUACGGUGAAUACGUUCCCGGGUCUUGUACUCACCGCCCGUCACACCAUGGGAAUUGAAUUCAUUCGAAGCGGGGAUGCUAAAAUAGCUACCUUCCACAGUGGAUUUAGUAACUAGGGUGAAGUCGUAACAAGGUAACC